UGUCAGAAUAAUGUGUAUAAAUGUAUAUAGAAGUUAUCAUUUUUUACUCACAUUCUUAUGUAAGAGUUUACUACAAGUAUGAACUGUUUUGACCUCUUGUUACACAUCAUAUAAGAGUGUUUUCUAACUUCUCUCUCCAAUAGCUUUAUUACACAGCACAUGAGUGUUUCUUCACUUUUCGGUGACCUCGUUUCUCCUAUCAGCAGGUGUGUGUGUGUGUGAUGUAUCCUCCACUGUGAAUCGUGGGAGGAUCCAAUAGCUUUAUUACACAGCACAUGAGUGUUUCUUCACUUUUCGGUGACCUCGUUUCUCCUAUCAGCAGGUGUGUGUGUGUGUGAUGUAUCCUCCACUGUGAAUCGUGGGAGGUAAUGAGGAGGAUCCGCUCCUAUCAGAAGGAGCUCGUUUGAUGCAACAAUGUCGCCUUGACCCUCAAAUAUUUUCUGUUUUUCAUAAUUAUGCUUUAUGAGAGUGCUUACGUUUGCUGCACAUAUUUUCCCCCCAUCCUUUAGAAACAUUGUGUAACCAGGGACAACCCUAAAUAAA